ACGAACGCUGGCGGCGUGCCUAAUACAUGCAAGUCGAACGAGUCCUCCCAAUUUGAUUUUAUGCUUGCAUAAAUGAUUUUUGGAUUCGGGACGAGUGGCGAACUGGUGAGUAACACGUGGGUAACCUGCCCUAAAGCAGGGGAUAACAUUUGGAAACAGAUGCUAAUACCGUAUAAUUAGUUGGAACCACAUGGUUCCAACUUGAAAGAUGGUUCUGCUAUCACUUUAGGAUGGACCCGCGGCGUAUUAGCUAGUUGGUGAGAUAAAAGCUCACCAAGGCGAUGAUACGUAGCCGACCUGAGAGGGUAAUCGGCCACAUUGGGACUGAGACACGGCCCAGACUCCUACGGGAGGCAGCAGUAGGGAAUCUUCCACAAUGGACGCAAGUCUGAUGGAGCAACGCCGCGUGAGUGAAGAAGGGUUUCGGCUCGUAAAACUCUGUUGUUAAAGAAGAACAAGUGUAAGAGUAACUGUUUACGCUUUGACGGUAUUUAACCAGAAAGCCACGGCUAACUACGUGCCAGCAGCCGCGGUAAUACGUAGGUGGCAAGCGUUGUCCGGAUUUAUUGGGCGUAAAGCGAGCGCAGGUGGUCUUUUAAGUCUGUUGUGAAAGCCCUCAGCUCAACUGAGGAAGUGCAGCGGAAACUAGGAGACUUGAGUACAGAAGAGGAUAGUGGAACUCCAUGUGUAGCGGUGAAAUGCGUAGAUAUAUGGGAAGAACACCAGUGGCGAAGGCGGCUAUCUGGUCUGUUACUGACACUGAGGCUCGAAAGCAUGGGUAGCGAACAGGAUUAGAUACCCUGGUAGUCCAUGCCGUAAACGAUGAAUACUAGGUGUUGGAGGGUUUCCGCCUUUCAGUGCCGCAGCUAACGCAUUAAGUAUUCCGCCUGGGGAGUACGACCGCAAGGUUGAAACUCAAAGGAAUUGACGGGGGCCCGCACAAGUGGUGGAGCAUGUGGUUUAAUUCGAUGCUACGCGAAGAACCUUACCAGGUCUUGACAUCUUCUGCCAACCUAAGAGAUUAGGCGUUCCCUUCGGGGACAGAAUGACAGGUGGUGCAUGGUUGUCGUCAGCUCGUGUCGUGAGAUGUUGGGUUAAGUCCCGCAACGAGCGCAACCCUUAUUAUUAGUUGCCAGCAUUAAGUUGGGCACUCUAGUGAGACUGCCGGUGAUAAACCGGAGGAAGGUGGGGAUGACGUCAAAUCAUCAUGCCCCUUAUGACCUGGGCUACACACGUGCUACAAUGGAUGGUACAACGAGUCGCGAAACCGCGAGGUCAAGCUAAUCUCUUAAAGCCAUUCUCAGUUCGGAUUGCAGGCUGCAACUCGCCUGCAUGAAGUUGGAAUCACUAGUAAUCGUGGAUCAGCAUGCCACGGUGAAUACGUUCCCGGGCCUUGUACACACCGCCCGUCAA
rnacentral:rRNA from 1 species